GGAUGGCGGCGGUGGGCAGGGGGGAUUUCGGGUCGGGGUCGCGGCUGGACCCCGCAGCGCUCAUAGAGCAAGUCAAAGUACGGGUCGCCGUGGGCACCGCCCAGGAGCUGCUGCAGGAUGCAACUUACAAGGGGGCGGAGCCACGUCUCCCGCGACAGCGAAGACUACGGAGACCUCUGCCCGCAAGACGGAGGGUCACCCAGGUGCGAUGCUAAGCAUCUGAACAACAGCUCAACCCACCUCUGUAAUGUCCCGGUAGAACUUACUUCCUGUAUGACAUUGUAUUUAUUUUAUUUCUUGCAUUUACAUCCCAGUUUUCCUCCAAGGAGCUCAAGGUCGUGUACAGGGUUCUUCUCCCUCCCCCCCCCCAUUUUAUCUUCACAGCAACCCUGUGAGGUAGGUGAGGCUGAGAGUUAGUGACUGGCCCCCAAAGUCACCCAAAGAGCUUCAUGGCUGGGUGGGGAUCUGAACUCAGGUCUCCUAGGUCCUCAUCCAGCGUGACUAAAGCCAACUAGAUAGUUUGGGGCUAGCCAGCCCCUCUCUUUCUCCAUCAGGCUAAACUACCUCACAGGGUUGUUGCGAAGACAAAACAGGUAGGGAAGAAAGUGUUUUAGCCACCUUGAGAGGAAAAAAGGUUAGAAUAUAUAUUUAGUACUCAGUCUGGGGUCCAGGAAAUCCCCCAAAGUGCUUUUGGAAUAAACUCACUUUGUACAAUU